AAGUCAAAGGGCAAGUCAAAGGACAAAGAUGGCAAGAAGAAAGAUAAGAAAAAGCACAAGGAGGGGAAAGGAUCGGGCAGCUCAUCAUCUUCUGAUGAAGACUGAUGCCUCCUGUGAGAUCGGACUGCCCUUUGAACUCUCUCAUGAAUGUUGUCUGUUGAGUGUGGGCGUGGUAGAGUGUGCAGUAGAAGCAGCUUUUCUUCUUGACUUGUCACUGGUGUCACAGAUUCAUACCAGCACUGUAUACAUAUCUGCUCUUUCCUAUAAGUAAAUGUUCUGACAACAACCAAACCAACUGUACGUUUUGUGUGUUCCACUGAUAAAGCCAAUCAAAGUU